rnacentral:tRNA from 1 species
GUCGGCUGGGUGUUGUUAAAACAUAUUAGUUUUUCGUACUAAAGUGAAUCUGUUGGUUAGUCGAUA